AGCUGUCUCCUUUUUCAAGUCAAUGAAAUUGAUCUUCCCGUGCAGAAGCGGGAAUUACUACAUAAGACGAGAAGACCCUAUGGAGCUUUAGACACCAAGACAGACCGCGUCAAAACUCCCUAAUGAAGGACUGAACUAAGUGGACCCUGUCCUAAUGUCUUUGGUUGGGGCGACCACGGGGAAAUACAAAACCCCCGCGUGGACUGGGAGCACCCCUACUCCUACAACUAAGAGCAUCCGCUCUAAUAAACAGAAUUUCUGACCAGCAAGAUCCGGCAACGCCGAUCAACGAACCCAGUUACCCUAGGGAUAACAGCGCAAUCCUCUUUUAGAACCCAUAUCGACAAGAGGGUUUACGACCUCGAUGUU
rnacentral:rRNA from 1 species